rnacentral:lncRNA from 1 species
CUUCGUUCUUCCUUCAAUAUUGAGAAUGGUAUAAAAUACAUUAUCAAAUAUGUUCUUUCUAAUGUGCAUGACAUCAAGAUUGUGUCGAAGAGGAAGCAUUUUCCAAUAUGGAAGAUCAAACAACUUGCUCUUUUUUCUCCAAUUUUCGAUACUUGUUCGCACCCCUACUUGGGUGGCCAGACCCUUACCAAAUAUAACAUCAUGUGGGU